GAUAAUGUGGAUUUUGAUCUAGACGUGAAUUGCUCUUAUUCAUCUGAAGAUAUAUUCCUGAUCGGGGACACCACUGUGAACUGUUCAUCUUCAGAUGCUGCAGGAAACACUGACACUUGUUUUCUCGUUGUCACAGUAACAGAUGAUGAAGCCCCUUUUCUGAACUGCCCAAAUAUAUCUUCUACUACGGAUGAGGGACUCAAUUCUUCAUCUACUGUUCUGCUGAGUUCAACUGCAACUGAUAAUGUGGAUUUUGAUCUAGAUGUGAAUUGCUCUCAUUCAUCUGAAGAUAUAUUCCUGAUCGGGGACACCACUGUGAACUGUUCAUCUUCAGAUGCUGCAGGAAACACUGAAACUUGCCUUCUAGUUGUCACAGUAUCAGAUGAUGAAACCCCUAUUCUGAACUGCCCAAAUAUAUCCUCUACU